GGUGUCAACUCUGGUCUGGUGGAGGAGAACCCAUUGGGAGCCCAGGAAAACAGCUUGCAGAUAGAUGCUGUGAUGAAGUGGAAGACGGGACUGGGAGAGAAGGCUGUGGAGCUCCUCAUAGCGGAGACACUCAAACACGCCCCGGCAGCCCAUUCAAAACAAGCCAGGGCCAACAGACAGGACCC